AGAGUUUGAUCAUGGCUCAGAUUGAACGCUGCCGGCAGGCCUAACACAUGCAAGUCGAACGGUAACAGGAAACAGCUUGCUGUUUCGCUGACGAGUGGCGGACGGGUGAGUAAUGUCUGGGAAACUGCCUGAUGGAGGGGGAUAACUACUGGAAACGGUAGCUAAUACCGCAUAACGUCGCAAGACCAAAGAGGGGGACCUUCGGGCCUCUUGCCAUCAGAUGUGCCCAGAUGGGAUUAGCUAGUAGGUGGGGUAACGGCUCACCUAGGCGACGAUCCCUAGCUGGUCUGAGAGGAUGACCAGCCACACUGGAACUGAGACACGGUCCAGACUCCUACGGGAGGCAGCAGUGGGGAAUAUUGCACAAUGGGCGCAAGCCUGAUGCAGCCAUGCCGCGUGUAUGAAGAAGGCCUUCGGGUUGUAAAGUACUUUCAGCGGGGAGGAAGGGAGUAAGUUAAUACCUUUGCUCAUUGACGUUACCCGCAGAAGAAGCACCGGCUAACUCCGUGCCAGCAGCCGCGGUAAUACGGAGGGUGCAAGCGUUAAUCGGAAUUACUGGGCGUAAAGCGCACGCAGGCGGUUUGUUAAGUCAGAUGUGAAAUCCCCGGGCUCAACCUGGGAACUGCAUCCGAUACUGGCAAGCUUGAGUCUCGUAGAGGGGGGUAGAAUUCCAGGUGUAGCGGUGAAAUGCGUAGAGAUCUGGAGGAAUACCGGUGGCGAAGGCGGCCCCCUGGACGAAGACUGACGCUCAGGUGCGAAAGCGUGGGGAGCAAACAGGAUUAGAUACCCUGGUAGUCCACGCCGUAAACGAUGUCGACUUGGAGGUUGUGCCCUUGAGGCGUGGCUUCCGGAGCUAACGCGUUAAGUUGACCGCCUGGGGAGUACGGCCGCAAGGUUAAAACUCAAAUGAAUUGACGGGGGCCCGCACAAGCGGUGGAGCAUGUGGUUUAAUUCGAUGCAACGCGAAGAACCUUACCUGGUCUUGACAUCCACGGAAGUUUUCAGAGAUGAGAAUGUGCCUUCGGGAACCGUGAGACAGGUGCUGCAUGGCUGUCGUCAGCUCGUGUUGUGAAAUGUUGGGUUAAGUCCCGCAACGAGCGCAACCCUUAUCCUUUGUUGCCAGCGGUCCGGCCGGGAACUCAAAGGAGACUGCCAGUGAUAAACUGGAGGAAGGUGGGGAUGACGUCAAGUCAUCAUGGCCCUUACGACCAGGGCUACACACGUGCUACAAUGGCGCAUACAAAGAGAAGCGACCUCGUGAGAGCAAGCGGACCUCAUAAAGUGCGUCGUAGUCCGGAUUGGAGUCUGCAACUCGACUCCAUGAAGUCGGAAUCGCUAGUAAUCGUGGAUCAGAAUGCCACGGUGAAUACGUUCCCGGGCCUUGUACACACCGCCCGUCGCACCAUGGGAGUGGGUUGCAAAAGAAGUAGGUAGCUUAACCUUCGGGAGGGCGCUUACCACUUUGUGAUUCAUGACUGGGGUGAAGUCGUAACAAGGUAACCGUAGGGGAACCUGCGGUUG
rnacentral:rRNA from 1 species